rnacentral:rRNA from 1 species
ACUCCUACGGGAGGCAGCAGUGGGGAAUUUUGGACAAUGGGCGAAAGCCUGAUCCAGCCAUGCCGCGUGCAGGAUGAAGGCCUUCGGGUUGUAAACUGCUUUUGUACGGAACGAAACGGCCUUUUCUAAUAAAGAGGGCUAAUGACGGUACCGUAAGAAUAAGCACCGGCUAACUACGUGCCAGCAGCCGCGGUAAUACGUAGGGUGCAAGCGUUAAUCGGAAUUACUGGGCGUAAAGCGUGCGCAGGCGGUUAUGUAAGACAGUUGUGAAAUCCCCGGGCUCAACCUGGGAACUGCAUCUGUGACUGCAUAGCUAGAGUACGGUAGAGGGGGAUGGAAUUCCGCGUGUAGCAGUGAAAUGCGUAGAUAUGCGGAGGAACACCGAUGGCGAAGGCAAUCCCCUGGACCUGUACUGACGCUCAUGCACGAAAGCGUGGGGAGCAAACAGGAUUAGAAACCCCGGUAGUCCCAUGAU